AACGAACGCUGGCGGCAUGCCUAACACAUGCAAGUCGAACGAGACCUUCGGGUCUAGUGGCGCACGGGUGCGUAACACGUGGGAAUUUGCCUCGGGGUAUGGAAUAACUCAGGGAAACUUGAGCUAAUACCAUAUAAUGUCUUCGGACCAAAGAUUUAUCGCCCUGAGAUAAGCCCGCGUAGGAUUAGCUAGUUGGUGGGGUAAAGGCUCACCAAGGCGACGAUCCUUAGCUGGUCUGAGAGGAUGAUCAGCCACACUGGGACUGAGACACGGCCCAGACUCCUACGGGAGGCAGCAGUGGGGAAUAUUGGACAAUGGGCGAAAGCCUGAUCCAGCAAUGCCGCGUGAGUGAUGAAGGCCUUCGGGUUGUAAAGGACUCUUUACCCGUACGAUGAUAAUGACAGUAUCGGGAGAAUAAGACUCCGGCUAACUCCGUGCCAGCAGCCGCGGU
rnacentral:rRNA from 1 species